rnacentral:rRNA from 1 species
CGCUGGCGGUGCGCCUUAUGCAUGCAAGUCGAGCGAAGCUUUUCAGUAGUUUACUACAGAGAAUGACUGAGCGGCGAACGGGUGAGUAACGCGUGAGCAACCUACCUUAGUUACUGGGAUAGCCCGAGGAAACUCGGAUUAAUACCGGAUAUUCUUAUUUAAUCACAUGAUUUUUUAAGGAAAGGUCAGCCGAACUAAGAUGGGCUCGCGUUCUAUCAGCUAGUUGGUAGGGUAAUGGCCUACCAAGGCUACGACGGAUAGCUGGUCUGAGAGGACGAUCAGCCACACUGGGACUGAGACACGGCCCAGACUCCUACGGGAGGCUGCAGCAGGGAAUAUUGCGCAAUGAGCGAAAGCUUGACGCAGCGACACCGCGUGUGGGAUGACGGAUCUAGGUUUGUAAACCACUUUCAGGAGGGAAGAAAAUGACGGUACCUCCACAAGAAGCCCCGGCCAACUACGUGCCAGCAGCCGCGGUAAUACGUAGGGGGCGAGCGUUGUCCGGAUUUAUUGGGCGUAAAGAGCUCGUAGGCGGUUCAACAAGUCGGUCGUGAAAGUUCAGGGCUCAACCCUGAAAUGUCGAUCGAUACUGUUGUGACUAGGAUACGGUAGAGGUGAGUGGAAUUCCGAGUGUAGCGGUGAAAUGCGUAGAUAUUCGGAGGAACACCAAUUGCGAAGGCAGCUCACUGGGCCGCUAUCGACGCUGAGGAGCGAAAGCUAGGGGAGCAAACAGGAUUAGAUACCCUGGUAGUCCUAGCUGUAAACGAUGGAUACUAGACGUAGGAAUUGGAUUAACGAUUUCUGUGUCGUAGCUAACGCGUUAAGUAUCCCGCCUGGGGAGUACGGU